UACAGAGGCCCCAAGCGUUAGGCGGAAUCACUGGGCUUAAAGCGUGUGUAGGCGGCCUGGCAAGUGGAAGGUGAAAUCCCUCGGCUUAACCGAGGAACUGCCUUCCAAACUGCUUGGCUUGAGUCCGGGAGAGGUGAGUGGAAUUCCCAGUGUAGCGGUGAAAUGCGUAGAUAUUGGGAGGAACACCAGUGGCGAAGGCGGCUCACUGGACCGGAACUGACGCUGAUGCGCGAAAGCGUGGGGAGCAAACGGG
rnacentral:rRNA from 1 species